rnacentral:rRNA from 1 species
AUUGAACGCUGGCGGCAGGCCUAACACAUGCAAGUCGGGCGAGCGGAGGACGGGUGAGUAAAGUAUGGAGACCUGCCUGAUGGCGGGGGAUAACUGCUGGAAACAGUAGCUAAUACCGCAUACCAUCAGAUGAACCCGUAUGGGAUUAGCUAGUAGGUAAGGUAACGGCUCAACUAGGCCACGAUCCCUAGCUGGGCGGAUAGGAUGAGCAGCCACACUGGGACUGAGACACGGCCCAGACUCCUACGCGAGGCAGCAGUGGGGAAUAUUGCACUAGUGGAUCAAGCCUGAUGCAGCCAUGCCGCGUGUAUGAAGAAGGCCUUCGGGUUGUAAAGUACUUUCAGUCGGGAGGCGUUACCGACAGAAGAAGCACCGGCUAACUCCGUGCCAGCAGCCGCGGUAAUUC